rnacentral:lncRNA from 1 species
GCAGUGGUCAUUGUUAUCAUUAGCUUUAUUUAAAGUAAGUUCUACAGGAUAAAUUUCUUUAGUAUACAUACUGAAGUCGUCAUUAUUUAGAGCCAAUAUAUCAUCCAAAUAUCUAAAAGUAUUGUUAAAUUUUUGUAUCAAAUGUUGUUUUGAUGGGUCUUUGCUAAUUUUAGUCAUAAAUUGUAACUCAUAACAAUACAAAAACAGGUCCGCAC